rnacentral:rRNA from 1 species
AUUGAACGCUGGCGGCAGGCCUAACACAUGCAAGUCGAGCGGCAGCGACUUAACUGAACCUUCGGGGAACGUUAAGGGCGGCGAGCGGCGGACGGGUGAGUAAUGCCUGGGAAUAUGCCUCACUGUGGGGGAUAACUAUUGGAAACGAUAGCUAAUACCGCAUAAUCUCCGAUCUUUUACGAGAUGGGAGCAAAGCGGGGGACCUUCGGGCCUCGCGCGCUGAGAUUAGCCCAGGUGGGAUUAGCUUGUUGGUGAGGUAAUGGCUCACCAAGGCAACGAUCCCUAGCUGGUCUGAGAGGACGAUCAUCCACACUGGAGCUGAGACACGGUCCAGACUCCUACGGGAGGCAGCAGUGGGGAAUAUUGCACAAUGGGGGAAACCCUGAUGCAGCCAUGCCGCGUGUGUGAAGAAGGCCUUCGGGUUGUAAAGCACUUUCAGUAGGGAGGAAGGUAGUGUAGUUAACACCUGCAUUAUUUGACGUUACCUACAGAAGAAGCACCGGCUAACUCCGUGCCAGCAGCCGCGGUAAUACGGAGGGUGCGAGCGUUAAUCGGAAUUACUGGGCGUAAAGCGCAUGCAGGCGGCCUGUUAAGUCAGAUGUGAAAGCCCGGGGCUUAACCUCGGAAUUGCAUUUGAAACUGGCAGGCUAGAGUCUUGUAGAGGGGGGUAGAAUUUCAGGUGUAGCGGUGAAAUGCGUAGAGAUCUGAAGGAAUACCAUGGCGAAGGCGGCCCCCUGGACAAAGACUGACGCUCAGAUGCGGAAGCGUGGGGAGCAAACAGG